rnacentral:rRNA from 1 species
GGGGACCUUCCACGGCCUCCGUGCNGCACGUAACGCAUUAAGCGCCCGCCUGGGGAGUACGGCCGCAAGGCUAAAACUCAAAGGAAUUGACGGGGGCCGCACAAGCGGCGGAGCAUGUGGCUUAAUUCGAUGCAACGCGAAGAACCUUACCAGGGCUUGACAUGCAGGGAAAUCUCGUAGAGAUACGGGGUCCGUAAGGGUCCUGCACAGGUGGUGCAUGGCUGUCGUCAGCUCGUGUCGUGAGAUGUUGGGUUAAGUCCCGCAACGAGNGCAACC